ACACAGGGAAGGAGGUGGUCUGCGAAAUUGAUAGCUUCUAGGACAUGUGAGGUGGCUGCCAGCUAGCAGCACCAGGUGCGGUGGAUUCACCUGCGUCCUGCGCGCGCUGGCGAAUUCCCGGCAGCUACCCGGCCCCCGAGCUCUGGUUUGUCCAACCAGGUGAACGGCUCGGGGGCCGCCCCAU
rnacentral:sRNA from 20 species